GGGGGGCUUAAUAAGGCAUUUUUUCACCAUUUGAAAAAGCAAAAAGGGGGAGGGGAGGCGUAGAAAUGCAUAUAUAUCUGGUAAUGGAUUAAAGAAGCCAAUUACAUGUAUAUUGUUGAAAGUUUCUAUUGCCUGUUUCAUACAUGAACUAUAUUUACAGGAGGAAGUAACAGUGUUCCCCUGGUGAUAAUAGAAGGAUUUAAAGCAGAACAAGCUAACAAUGGUGCUCAGCCAGCUGCAAAGAGAUCCAAGGCAGAGUCAUUGUUACCACAGGUACAUGCCACAAAAUCAAUAUCCACAUCUCAAACUGUCAUACAAAAUUUCCUCACAGCUUUCAAAUGUUACGAGUUACUGAAUUCCUCAACAGAAUUACAGAGAGAGUUUGUUAUAUUGUGCAAUAACUGGAGAAUGGAGACAUGGAGUUGGAUGGGACAUUUCCAAACUGAUAUGUUUCUUUAUCAGG